rnacentral:rRNA from 1 species
GAGUUUGAUCCUGGCUCAGAUUGAACGCUGGCGGCAGGCCUAACACAUGCAAGUCGAGCGGUAGAGAGAAGCUUGCUUCUCUUGAGAGCGGCGGACGGGUGAGUAAUACCUAGGAAUCUGCCUGAUAGUGGGGGAUAACGUUCGGAAACGGACGCUAAUACCGCAUACGUCCUACGGGAGAAAGCAGGGGACCUUCGGGCCUUGCGCUAUCAGAUGAGCCUAGGUCGGAUUAGCUAGUUGGUGAGGUAAUGGCUCACCAAGGCUACGAUCCGUAACUGGUCUGAGAGGAUGAUCAGUCACACUGGAACUGAGACACGGUCCAGACUCCUACGGGAGGCAGCAGUGGGGAAUAUUGGACAAUGGGCGAAAGCCUGAUCCAGCCAUGCCGCGUGUGUGAAGAAGGUCUUCGGAUUGUAAAGCACUUUAAGUUGGGAGGAAGGGCAUUAACCUAAUACGUUAGUGUUUUGACGUUACCGACAGAAUAAGCACCGGCUAACUCUGUGCCAGCAGCCGCGGUAAUACAGAGGGUGCAAGCGUUAAUCGGAAUUACUGGGCGUAAAGCGCGCGUAGGUGGUUUGUUAAGUUGAAUGUGAAAUCCCCGGGCUCAACCU